GGGGAUUCGAACCACCGACCUUCUGAUCGGCAAGCCCUAGGCUCUUUGGUUUAACCCACAGUGCCACCCGCGAUGGAGCCAAAAGCAAUGACAUGGGCAGCCAGUUUUCUCUCCUCUUCCCUGUUAAGUUCUUAACAAAGGCAACACAUGGGCUGUGUGUAUAUUGAUGCCAUAAACUGCAUCCAGGUUGUUCUGACAGGCCAAGGCCCUACUCACAUGAAUGGGUUAGUCUACUGACAAGACUUUGAUCAGAGGGGCCUUUUGUAAAGUGAUACACAUGCCUGGGCUGAUCCUUCAGGAAGUUUACAAAGCCUUUUUAAGUAUAGGUCUGUAAUAUAACUCCAGAAGAGAGCAACAUCAUGGGGACGGGAUGUUUCCUGGUACAACAUCCCCCUUCACCCCACCCUGAGAAGGCUUAUAAAAUGGCGCAGGAGUGGGAUUGCGAGAAGCUGGCAUUUCCCUUCCCUGUGAUGGAGGGAUAAGAAAAAGCAUUUUUCUUAAAAGAGAAGGAAAAGUGACCAACUCCAUAUGCAAAUGAGGGACCUACUUUGCAAAUGACCAGAGGAGAUGCAGAAGGCAUGUGAAGCGACAGCAAGGCAUGGUGACUUUUGCCACAGAAUCUCUUUUACUCGGGUCUCAUCCACACUCCAGCUUGUCCCGUGCAUAGAGCCCAAAACACUUGGACCUGUGCUUAGAAAUGCAGUGCAAAAGGUAAGGUGGAUAAACCCUUGGUUAGCUCCGUAAGAUGCCUUCAACUACAGCUCCUCAAGAGAAGUACCUAUACGGAAGGAAUUUAAAACUCUAAUGACACUGGCACAUGUAAAAGCUGUGCUAUUUUUCCAGAAAAAGAGGUGCUGAAACUGAGUUUCCUGAGAGUUCCGGCUGGGGCGAAAAAAAGCCCUGUGUAAAAGCACACUAAAAUAUAAUUUUGUCACACCCUUCUGUGUCGGUUCAUUAUAACAAAAUUGAUGGGGAUUCACAUUGCAUACAUAUUUCCCUUUAAAUGUGUUUGGCUCAUCUGGAGUAGGAGUCCAGCAUUUGUGCAACGUGAAAACACUCAUCCUCCUCUGUGAAAAAUGACGGAUCUUGAUAAAGGUAUUUUUACAUUGCUGUCUCCAUCAAUUAAAAAACCACAAUGCAGUAAAGUGAUGGAGCUGGAUCUGAAUUCAUUGAAUGCUGCACCUCCUUGAAAUGAGACCUCUUGAAAUGCCCUUGGGGCCUCCUGCCUCUCACCUGCAACACCUAGAGCCAUAGAUCACUUCUCACUCCCCGUGUUAGGACACUUGCUUUUGAGCAAGCUGUACUGAAUGUUUGGCUGAAGUAAACACGCAGACAUGUUGUGAAAGAAUGUCUUUGGAGAUUGUCCAAGCUCCGUUUCUGUCCAAAUACCGUUGCCAAGAAAAUAAACCUGUUACUGGAAUCCAGCUGAUGACUAGAAUUUCCUGAUUAACUCUUGAUUGAUUUGCAUGGAUAAUUUGUAAAUUGCUGUUUGUUUGACAUCUUUUUUAUCUAGGAACUUUUAUCUGCAAAGAGUCAUCAUAACCCAUUCCAUUUAUUCCUUUGGCCUCCAAACAUUCCUAAGAAAAGGCACAAAGAAGCAGUUAGAGCAUGCCAGAAGAUGCUGGUCUUUGUAACUUGCAAAGAGCUAGCUGCAAGUCUUCCACUGGCGAACUUCAGCAGAAGGGCCAAAAUGUGUUUGAAAAACACACCUGACCAUUCACAAGUUGUGAUUAUGCAGUUCCCAUUUGCACUUUUAAGGAAAUGGAUGUACAUGGGAUUUUUGGAGCUCCCCCCACCCAAAUUGUUCCCUAGCCAUGGCUCUUUGCAGACAUGAUUUUCCAUAUGAGAUUGCAUUUAGGGCCAAUUUGGGGAGUCGCUUUGGACUUGCAGGACAUUUGUGCACUCCCUUCCAGGUUAUUUAUUUAAUAACUUUACAUUUUGCACUUCCAACUCCCUAGAGUUUCCAUGGUCACCAUUAUAUAUUUUUUAAAAAAUAAUAAAAGCAGAAUAUUCCCUGGCCAUGUAUGAGUAAACCCUAUUAAAGAGAUUGCCAUCUCCACAGCUGUGUGUAACAUUGUCUCUCAAAAAAUGCCAUUGUGGUGACUUGACAUUGUCCUCAAGGUAGAGGACCUGGUACACUUUUUGUUGGAAUGCCCUCGGCAUGAACAUCUGAGGACCUGAUAUCUUGAGUCCCUUGUUGCUGGGUUUAGUGACAACUCUCCUUUAAGCAAACGUUUUGUUCAUAUUGGCUGGGAAAGAUUAUUCUGUGUCAUAUAGGACUGACUUUGGGGAAACAGAAGUUGCUUACCAUGUUAUUAUAUGUUGAUAUCUGUACGUAAGUUACUGAAAUGGCAUAAUCUUUCAUCAUAUUUUUGUAUGGUUUAAUGUAUUCUAGCUCCGAGGGCCUCCUGGCGGUUCCCUCACAGUGAGAAGUGAAGUCACCAGACAGAGGGCCUU